GAUGAACGCUGGCGGCGUGCUUAACACAUGCAAGUCGAACGGAAAGGCCCAAGCUUGCUUGGGUACUCGAGUGGCGAACGGGUGAGUAACACGUGGGUGAUCUGCCCUGCACUUCGGGAUAAGCCUGGGAAACUGGGUCUAAUACCGGAUAGGACGAUGGUUUGGAUGCCAUUGUGGAAAGUUUUUUCGGUGUGGGAUGAGCUCGCGGCCUAUCAGCUUGUUGGUGGGGUAAUGGCCUACCAAGGCGUCGACGGGUAGCCGGCCUGAGAGGGUGUACGGCCACAUUGGGACUGAGAUACGGCCCAGACUCCUACGGGAGGCAGCAGUGGGGAAUAUUGCACAAUGGGCGCAAGCCUGAUGCAGCGACGCCGUGUGGGGGAUGACGGCCUUCGGGUUGUAAACUCCUUUCGCUAGGGACGAAGCGUUUUUGUGACGGUACCUGGAGAAGAAGCACCGGCUAACUACGUG
rnacentral:rRNA from 1 species